UCCCAGGUUCGGCUCCUUCUGCAGUUAGUGGUCCGGUCCCCGCGAACGCGCGGCGUUUGGGUGAUUCGGCGAACAGACACCCUGUGGCAGUGACCUCUGAUUUAGCUGCAGAGCUGAGGCAUAUGAUCCAAACACUUCGAGUAAUAAAGAAUGAACCCAGCCCUUCAAAACACAAGGCUCUGAGAUAAGCUACAGGUGAACCGUACAACAAGGAUGUAUCUCCAAAAUGUAGGAAAUUUCAGGUGGUGUAAAAAGUGGAAAUUAAAA